rnacentral:rRNA from 1 species
CGGAAGGGAUAACCGCUGAAUGCAUCUAAGCGGGAAACCCACCUUAAAACUAGGUAUCCCAAUUAAGACCGUGGUAGACCACCACGUUGAUAGGUCAGGUGUGUAAGUACAGCAAUGUAUUUAGCUAACUGAUACUAAUAGUCUGAUUGGCUUGAUUUU